rnacentral:rRNA from 1 species
UACGAAGGGGGGCUAGCGUUGCUCGGAAUCACUGGGCGUAAAGCGCACGUAGGCCGUUUGCUAAGUCAGGGGUGAAAUCCUGGAGCUCAACUCCAGAACUGCCUUUGAUACUGGCGGACUCGAGUCCGGGAGAGGUGAGUGGAACUGCGAGUGUAGAGGUGAAAUUCGUAGAUAUUCGCAAGAACACCAGUGGCGAAGGCGGCUCACUGGCCCGGUACUGACGCUGAGGUGCGAAAGCGUGGGGAGCAAACAGGAUUAGAAACCCGGG